GGAGAGGUGGCCGAGAGGCUUAUGGCGCCGCGUCACCGCGGUAUACGGCAACGUAUCGGGGGUUCGAAUCCCUUCCCUCUCCGCCA
rnacentral:tRNA from 1 species